AGUGAACGCUGGCGGCGUGCCUAAUACAUGCAAGUCGAACGAUGAAGUCCUAGCUUGCUAGGAUGGAUUAGUGGCGCACGGGUGAGUAAUAUAUAGUUAAUCUGCCCUACACAGAGGAACAACAGUUGGAAACGACUGCUAAUACCUCAUACUCCUAUUUGACAUAAGUUAAAUAGGGAAAGUCUUUUCGGUGUAGGAUGAGACUAUAUCGUAUCAGCUAGUUGGUAAGGUAAUGGCUUACCAAGGCUAUGACGCGUAACUGGUCUGAGAGGAUGAUCAGUCACAUUGGAACUGAGACACGGUCCAAACUCCUACGGGAGGCAGCAGUAAGGAAUAUUGCGCAAUGGGGGAAACCCUGACGCAGCAACGCCGCGUGGAGGAUGACACUUUUCGGAGCGUAAACUCCUUUUAUCAGGAAAGAAUAAUGACGGUACCUGAUGAAUAAACACCGGCUAACUCCGUG
rnacentral:rRNA from 1 species